CUCAACUGUCUUGAUUAAUAAAAAUUCAAUUCACUUGAUUGAAUAUUAUUUUUGAGCCUGUAUUUCAUUGUCCAAUAUUCUAUUUCGACUGUGUUUUUUUUAGUGUGGGUGGAGCAUUACUUGGAAUCAGAAGAGGCCCCGAUGUAACAAUGAUCAAUAAAAGCAUUCCAACCACUAUAUGCAUCAAAACACAAAAAGGAAGAAAUUGAUCAUCAUUCUCAAGAAGUGGAAAAACAUUGAAAAUAGCCUGCUGCAUUUGCCACCGUAGUAUUCUUUUUUUUUUAUUGGGGAUAGAUAAAGCACUUGCAUGAUAUGAAAAAGACG